rnacentral:rRNA from 1 species
CGUUUAGGGGUAAACCUGAGAAACCCGAAAGGUCGAAGGAAGAAAUUCAAUCGUGUCCGAUAAGGUUAUUGUGCGGUUUUGGUGUCGAUUAAUGGAUUCGUUCAUUUUUCGCCCUACUGUAUGAUAUAUGUACCUUGUUGAACGCGUGCACUUUUCUUCUGGUAGGACGUCGCGAUCCGUUGAGUGUUGAUUUACGGUUUGAAUGGUAGUCUAUCAAUGAGAAUCCUUUGCGAUUCUCCUUGAUAGACCUUCGAUACCUGGUCAACUGGCUCGACGGUAUCAUAUAAUGGUUCUGGGCCGCUCAUUUGGAGCGUUCGGCUUGUAGCAAGCACAUUAAAUGUUUCGGUACAUCGGACCUAGUGCCGUGUCUGAUCCUUAAUGACUGUUGGCUGCUUUGUCUCGAACAGACCUAUUGAACCGAUCUGCGACGAUAUAGCUUUGGGUACUUUCAGGACCCGUCUUGAAACACGGACCAAGGAGUCUAGCAUGUACGCGAGUCAUUGGGAAUCACAAAACCUAAAGGCGCAAUGAAAGUAAAUGUUUUCCUUUACGGUUAACGAUGGGAAGACGGGCGUUUAACUUUACAGUUGACGUUCUGCACUCCCGGGGCGUCUCAUUCUCAUUAUGAGAAGAGGCGCACCAUGAGCGUACACGCUGGGACCCGAAAGAUGGUGAACUAU